rnacentral:rRNA from 1 species
GCGUGCUUAACACAUGCAAGUCGAGCGGUAAGGCCCUUUCGGGGGUACACGAGCGGCGAACGGGUGAGUAACACGUGAGCAAUCUGCCCCUGUCUCUGGGAUAACCACUGGAAACGGUGGCUAAUACCGGAUAUGACCUCCUUCUGCAUGGUUGGUGGUGGAAAAGUCCGCUGGACAGGGAUGAGCUCGCGGCCUAUCAGCUUGUUGGUGGGGUAAUGGCCUACCAAGGCGACGACGGGUAGCCGGCCUGAGAGGGUGACCGGCCACACUGGGACUGAGACACGGCCCAGACUCCUACGGGAGGCAGCAGUGGGGAAUAUUGGACAAUGGGCGAAAGCCUGAUCCAGCAACGCCGCGUGAGGGAUGACGGCCUUCGGGUUGUAAACCUCUUUCAGCAGGGACGAAGCGAAAGUGACGGUACCUGCAGAAGAAGGACCGGCCAACUACGUGCCAGCAGCCGCGGUAAUACGUAGGGUCCGAGCGUUGUCCGGAAUUAUUGGGCGUAAAGGGCUCGUAGGCGGUUUGUCACGUCGGGAGUGAAAACUCAGGGCUUAACCCUGAGCGUGCUUCCGAUACGGGCUGACUAGAGGGAUGCAGGGGAGAACGGAAUUCCUGGUGUAGCGGUGGAAUGCGCAGAUAUCAGGAGGAACACCGGUGGCGAAGGCGGUUCUCUGGGCAUUUCCUGACGCUGAGGAGCGAAAGCAUGGGGAGCGAACAGGAUUAGAUACCCUGGUAGUCCAUGCCGUAAACGUUGGGCGCUAGGUGUGGGGACCUUCCACGGUUUCCGUGCCGCAGCUAACGCAUUAAGCGCCCCGCCUGGGGAGUACGGCCGCAAGGCUAAAACUCAAAGGAAUUGACGGGGGCCCGCACAAGCGGCGGAGCAUGCUGAUUAAUUCGAUGCAACGCGAAGAACCUUACCUGGGUUUGACAUAUGCCGGAAAGCGCCA